UUAUGUGAUCGUCUCUCGCAUAUCAAUAAGCGGAGGAAAAGAAACUAACAAGGAUUCCCCUAGUAACGGCGAGUGAAGCGGGAAGAGCUCAAAUAUUGAAAUCUUAAAGGGUUUCCCUUUACGAAUUGUAGUUUAAAGAAGUGUUUUCUGUUGAGGUUUUGGUAAAGUUCUUUGGAAUAGGACAUCAUAGAGGGUGAGAAUCCCGUAUUUGACCUUUACUUUCAACUUUGUGAUACACUUUCAAAGAGUCGGAUUGUUUGGGAAUGCAGUCCAAAAUGGGUGGUAAAUUUCAUCUAAAGCUAAAUAUUGGCGAGAGACCGAUAGCGAACAAGUACCGUGAGGGAAAGAUGAAAAGAACUUUGAAAAGAGAGUUAAACAGUACGUGAAAUUGUCAAAAGGGAAGCGUUUGACACCAGUGUUGUUUUUCUGAAAAUCAAUUAAAGAACUGUUUAUGCUAAGUUGUUUAGACUUUAUCAACUAACUGUUUAGUUUUGAGCUUUUCUUUAAUGCACUUUUCAGUUAACAAGUCAACAUCAAUUUCUUUUGCUGUAAAAAAGCUUGAGGAAGGUGGCUUGAGAUUCGUCUUAAGUGUUUAUAGCCUCUUGCCUAUGCAGUCGGAGAGAUUGAGGUCUGCAGCGUAGAUCCUUCGGGGCUAAAUGCAUUUGUGCUAAGUUAUAGCAUUUUAUAGACAACUUGUUGACUAUGAUUUGUCUUGUAGCUUACUCGCUUAUGUUAUUUUACCUACGCUUAGGAUGUUGACUGAUAUGUAGUCGUA
rnacentral:rRNA from 1 species